UACGGAGGGGGUUAGCGUUGUUCGGAAUUAUUGGGCGUAAAGAGCUCGUAGGCGGUUUGUCGCGUCUGCCGUGAAAGUCCGGGGCUCAACUCCGGAUCUGCGGUGGGUACGGGCAGACUAGAGUGAUGUAGGGGAGACUGGAAUUCCUGGUGUAGCGGUGAAAUGCGCAGAUAUCAGGAGGAACACCGAUGGCGAAGGCAGGUCUCUGGGCAUUAACUGACGCUGAGGAGCGAAAGCAUGGGGAGCGAACAGG
rnacentral:misc_RNA from 1 species